rnacentral:rRNA from 1 species
UACGGGGGGGGCAAGCGUUGUUCGGAAUUACUGGGCGUAAAGGGCUCGUAGGCGGCCAACUAAGUCAGACGUGAAAUCCCUCGGCUUAACCGGGGAACUGCGUCUGAUACUGGAUGGCUUGAGUUUGGGAGAGGGAUGCGGAAUUCCAGGUGUAGCGGUGAAAUUCGUAGAUAUUGGGAAGAACACCGGUGGCGAAGGCGGCUCUCUGGACCGAUACUGACGCUGAGGCGCGAAAGCGUGGGGAGCAAACAGG